UGCAGCUGCCACAUGUUAUUUCUUUCUUCCUCUACAUCUGUGAAUAUGCAAAGCUUCUGUGGAGUUCAUCCAUCUUCCAAGCUAAGAAAGGAUUUUCAAACUCACACUUCUUCAGAUGCUGAAAUAAACAACAAACUUCUGACCGACAAACAUACUACUAUUUGGUUAACUAUCUUUCCUACAAACAUGGUACUAAGAGUGAACAUCAACCAAAUAGAACCAGCCACACGAGAUUGGAUUUGCAAAGUUCAAAUUGUCGAAAUAAGCCGCCCACGCGAAAGCCUUGACAAGAAAUGUACAUUCCAAAAUUUAAUUUUGGAAGAUGAAGAGGAAUGCCAAAUUAAGGCAGUUAUGUACAGUGAUGAAAUCGAGCAGUAUGCAGCUACACUUAAACUCCUCAAUACCUACCUCAUCUCUACUGCAAAAGUGAAAGUCUCACCAACUUCAUACGGCAAGCCGAUACAUAAAUUCCACUGGAUUCUUGACAAAGAAACAGUAAUUGAACACAUCAAAGCAUCUCAUGAAGUUGAAAAACCACUUCCACCGCCAAACAAGCUGAAUAUCACCAGCUUUGACCGCAUUCCUCAUCUGAUGGUCGAUUCUGCUGCUGAAAUAGAUAUACUAGCAAUCGUUCUUCGUUGUGGUCCUCAAAAAAAUGUCGGUCGCAGUCAUCAUAGGUGUCGAGAGAUUACCCUUUGUGACAAUCAGAAAAAUCAGUUUCUCUUCACUCUAUAGGAAGAUUUUGGAGAAAUAGAAGGACAUGAAAUUUCCUCUAAAAUGGCAACAGAGGCAGAUCUGCUGGUAAUCCUCGGAAGGAGUAUAGGAAUCUCUACUUAUCAAGGAUUGUCGCUGCAGACUAGGUACAAUUCCACAGUACGUGUAAAUCCUAAUUACCCACAGGCAGUGGCACUCAUCAACUGGGCAAAAGAAAACAAGACAAUGUUGUUAGGUUCUCCAUCAGCGAAAACCUCAACAAGCUCAUCUAUCACUCCCAUGAUAGUCACUCCUGCUGGCCAACAAAUUAUCUCUAUUGCAGAAAUCUCAUCAGCACCUUCUAUGGGAGUGUUCUAUGUUGAAGCAGAGAAGGCCAUAUUAGAUGAGUUCCAAGACUUCUGUGUGCUUGAAUGCUCAGGAUGCAAACAGAAGAAGCGGACAAAGGAUAGAAAGGAUUUUGAAUGUCCAAAAUGCAAUCGGAAAACAUCAUUAGUGCCUCGUUGUAGCUUCCAAAUAGAUCUUAUUGACAAUACUGCUACAACUACAGCAUCUAUCUCUGCUGAAUUAGGAGGAAAAUUACUGUUCAUGACAGUAGAAGACAUAUUUGACAUAACUUGCACUAAGCGACAAUCAUUGUCUCUAACUCAUGUCCAUGAGAUGCUGUCAAACAAAGUAUUCGAAAUUCAGCUAAGGAAGUCAUCUUGGGGCAGCUCAAAUACCACAAAUGCAACUUUGUCCAUUCCUUCCUACAUGGAAAAACAACAUACACCAGAGAGCACUACUGAUAGGACUCCUAAAAAGAUAAAGCCUUUGGAAACAAGUGAGGUAGAAGUCAUGGCAACAACUGCUACAGCUGGUCCUUCAAAUGCACCAGCAAAAUUUGAACCGCCCACACCAACCAAAAAGGUUUAAAAGGAACUCCGUCACACCAUUUUGUCACUUUUGGUUAUGCUAGGGACAUUAUAAUGAAUGACUCUCCCUACGCUCUGGUUUUUUGCAUCAGCAAGAUUAGCUAUGGACAGGCAAACUGCAGUGUCCUCUAAAUAUCCUACACAAUGACAUGCAAAUCUUAUAUACCAAAACUGCAACAUGUACUAUAUUAUUUUGGUUAUAUUACGUUAGUUAGUAUGUGCAAACCGUUCAACUCGACAUCAUAGUUAUGUCUAUUGUACAUAUUCUACAUAUUUCUAAUAGUACAUAAUAUAAUAGAUCAUAUUAUCUA